UGGGGAAUCUUGGACAAUGGGGGCAACCCUGAUCCAGCCAUGCCGCGUGAGUGAAGAAGGCCCUAGGGUCGUAAAGCUCUUUCGCCUGUGACGAUAAUGACGGUACCUGCAGAAUAAGCCCCGGCUAACUUCGUGCCAGCAGCCGCGGUAAUACGAAGGGGGCUAGCGUUGUUCGGAAUUACUGGGCGUAAAGCGCGCGUAGGCGGACUGGUCAGUUGGGGGUGAAAUCCCGGGGCUCAACCUCGGAACUGCCUUCAAUACUGCCAGUCUCGAGUCCGGAAGAGGUGAGUGGAAUUCCUAGUGUAGAGGUGAAAUUCGUAGAUAUUAGGAAGAACACCAGUGGCGAAGGCGGCUCACUGGUCCGGUACUGACGCUGAGGUGCGAAAGCGUGGGGAGCAAACAGGAUUAGAUACCCCCGUAGUCC
rnacentral:rRNA from 1 species